rnacentral:lncRNA from 1 species
GCUAAACCCAGAACAAUGUUGUCUUCAAAGACGGGUCUCGUUUCUUUCUUUGAAUUAGCGACAGAGACAGAGCCAUCUCCUCGUUCUGUGGCUUCAGGUCCUUGAGUCUUUCCUUUACCAGUCUUGGAAGUUGAUGCAACAUUAUCCAUAUUUUCUGACCAUGGAGAAGAUGGCGAUGUUGUAGUCACAUGAUCAUUCUUGCUAUUCUUCAGUGGUCAGCUUUUUCUUGGACCUUAUCCUUGGGUGAUAAAGCAGCCUCGACCGUGUCCUGCUCUGUUUCAGAAAGUGAUAGAUGAGGGUUCGUUCCGUCAUCAAUUGGUAAUGUCCUCUUGGAGCCAUCAAGAGCUAAACCCAGAACAAUGUUGUCUUCAAAGACGGGUCUCGUUUCUUUCUUUGAAUUAGCGACAGAGACAGAGCCAUCUCCUCGUUCUGUGGCUUCAGGUCCUUGAGUCUUUCCUUUACCAGUCUUGGAAGUUGAUGCAACAUUAUCCAUAUUUUCUGACCAUGGAGAAGAUGGCGAUGUUGUAGUCACAUGAUCAUUCUUGCUAUUCUUCAGGUGACCAUCUUCUGCUACUGAUUUUUUCUGUUCCUGCUUCUCCGAGUUGUUGCUUAUACUAGCAUUAUCAGGUGAAGCUGGCUUAGUCUCUGUAGAAGCAACUGUCUUGACUUUAUGCUCUUCACGGGAUGCUGGAUGAGGCUUAGACUUGUCAUCACUAAUCCUUGCAGAGGUAUCAAUCAAGAGUGGGCGACCACGUACACGACUAUACAUCUCCUCUCCGAAAGGAAUGUUAUCUAUGUCUGCGUUGCCAUAAGAUUUCUGAACU